UGCCAGCCGCCGCGGUAAUACGGAGGGUGCGAGCGUUAAUCGGAAUUACUGGGCGUAAAGGGCGCGUAGGUGGUUUUGUAAGUCGGAUGUGAAAGCCCCGGGCUUAACUUGGGAAUUGCAUUCGAAACUGCAGGGCUAGAGUAUGGUAGAGGGAAGUGGAAUUCCGGGUGUAGCGGUGAAAUGCGCAGAUAUCCGGAGGAACACCAGUGGCGAAGGCGACUUCCUGGACCAAUACUGACACUGAGGCGCGAAAGCGUGGGGAGCAAACAGGAUUAGAUA
rnacentral:rRNA from 1 species